CAGUAGCCGCGGUAAUACGUAGGGUGCAAGCGUUAAUCGGAAUUACUGGGCGUAAAGCGUGCGCAGGCGGUGUUGUAAGACUGAUGUGAAAUCCCCGGGCUCAACCUGGGAACUGCAUUGGUGACUGCAACGCUGGAGUGCGGCAGAGGGGGAUGGAAUUCCGCGUGUAGCAGUGAAAUGCGUAGAUAUGCGGAGGAACACCGAUGGCGAAGGCAAUCCCCUGGGCCUGCACUGACGCUCAUGCACGAAAGCGUGGGGAGCAAACAGGAUUAGAUACCCGAGUAGUCCCUGUCUCUUAUAA
rnacentral:rRNA from 1 species